rnacentral:ncRNA from 2 species
ACUAAACAAAUGUUUAUUGCGUGUAUAUGCUUAGGAAUAUGGCUUAAGCGUUUCUACCUGGUAACCUUAAACUACCGGACUACAUGAAGAAUGACUGAAUAC